CUGCUUAGGAUAGCCAAUAUACCUGAUAAUCAUGUUCCAUUUAGCUUGAGUUUAUCUGUACAUUCUGACCAUGAAAAGCAUUAUAUACGGAGAAAGUGAACAAUAAUCAAAUCUGAACUAUAAAUGCAGUAAUUUGGUUCCUUACUUUAUCUUUUGCUUUGAAAAGUGGGCUUGAUGAAUACUAUGGAUAGAAAAGGGGUGCAAUAGUUUGCCUAUUAUAGAUAACAGGUUGCAAAUUUUUCAAGGUGGAGAUAAUGUGACUAGUGAAACAUAUUCAUACUGGUCACAUCUCCAGGCUGAUUCAGUCCUGGUGUGAUUUGGAAGAGUUGAAAAAGAAAAGAAAGGG
rnacentral:misc_RNA from 1 species